rnacentral:snRNA from 1 species
AGGUAGGACGUGUCGGCUG